rfam:Pseudomonas phage PAJT2 DNA, complete genome.
CUUUAUGGCGGGCUGUGCGUGGGACACCUUCGGGUGUGCCGGGAGCCUUACCCCCGGUCGGCCAACCCGCGUACAGUUCGCCUCCCUC